rnacentral:rRNA from 1 species
UACAGAGGUCCCGAGCGUUGUUCGGGAAUUACUGGGCGUAAAGGGCGCGUAGGCGGCGCUGCAAGUCAGGCGUGAAAUUCCUGGGCUUAACCUGGGGGGCUGCGCUUGAGACUGUGGCGCUAGAGGACGGAAGAGGGUCGUGGAAUUCCCAGUGUAGAGGUGAAAUUCGUAGAUAUUGGGGAAGAACACCGGUGGCGAAGGCGGCGACCUGGUCCGUUACUGACGCUGAGGCGCGACAGCGUGGGGAGCAAACAGG